rnacentral:rRNA from 1 species
UUCUAUGGAGAGUUUGAUCCUGGCUCAGGACGAACGCUGGCGGCGUGCUUAACACAUGCAAGUCGAGCGAUGAAACACCUUCGGGUGUGAAUUAGCGGCGAACGGGUGAGGAACACGUGAGAAAUCUGCCUUCAACUCUGGGAUAACU